AUCUAUUGAUAUAUAGAGUUCACAUCUACAACAAUUGAAGCUCAACCCAUAAACUAACAAUGGAAGAAAGGGGAAAAAGGAACUUAACUUUGACAAGGAAGGUGACAAGCUGAACUCUUGGUCCGAUGAGUUGGAGCAGAGGGUCGACGGAGAAGCCAUUUUCGAUGACGAGAUAGGCGGCAGCUGUCUUAGAUACCUAUUUCAUGUUUAUUAAUAUAUAGAGUUUACAUCUACAACAAUAACCACCUGGAUUCUUCUAAUUCCCUAGAAUUUAAUUUUAGUAGGAUGGUGGUAUUAGCUUCAUUGAAGCUCAACCCAUAAAAUAACAAUAGAAGGAAGGGGAAAAAGGAACUUAACUUUGACAAGGAAGGUGACAAGCUGAACUCCUGGUCCGAUGAGUUGGAACAGAGGGUCGACGGAGAAGCCAUUUCCGAUGAUGAGAUAGGCGGCAGCUCUCUUAGUUUCCUAUUUUGAGUUUAGUGAUAUGUUUGUCUGACUAGGGAAUUUCAU
rnacentral:lncRNA from 1 species